GCCGCGGGAGCAUGCGCGGGGCUGCGCUGGCCGGGAUCGCUAUGGCAGCGGCGUCGCUGUGGGCCCAGCCUCCGAGCUCGCGUAGGGGCCCGACAGUCUCAGCAGCCGCCAGCACAGCGGCCUCUUGGGCAUGAGCGGGGUCUCCUGCCGCGGCCCGCGACCCUGGCCGCCGCUGCCGCCGCAUCACAGCUUUGGGCCGGCGCCGGGAACAUGCCCCUGGCCGCCUACUGCUACCUGCGGGUCGUGGGCAGGGGCAGCUACGGGGAGGUGACGCUCGUGAGGCACCGUCGGGACGGCAGGCAGUAUGUCAUCAAAAAGCUGAACCUCCGAAAUGCCUCCAGCCGAGAGCGGCGAGCCGCUGAACAGGAAGCUCAGCUCUUGUCUCAGUUGAAGCACCCUAAUAUUGUCACCUAUAAGGAGUCAUGGGAGGGAGGCGACGGUCUGCUGUACAUCGUCAUGGGCUUCUGCGAAGGAGGUGAUCUGUACCGAAAGCUCAAAGAACAGAAGGGGCAGCUUCUGCCUGAGAGUCAGGUGGUGGAAUGGUUUGUUCAGAUUGCCAUGGCCCUGCAGUAUUUACAUGAAAAACACAUCCUUCACCGAGAUCUGAAAACUCAAAAUGUUUUCCUCACAAGAACAAACAUCAUCAAAGUGGGUGACCUAGGAAUUGCUCGAGUGUUGGAGAACCACUGUGACAUGGCUAGCACCCUCAUUGGCACACCCUACUACAUGAGCCCUGAAUUGUUUUCAAACAAACCUUACAACUAUAAGUCUGAUGUUUGGGCUCUGGGAUGCUGUGUUUAUGAAAUGGCCACCCUGAAGCAUGCUUUCAAUGCAAAAGACAUGAAUUCUUUAGUUUAUCGGAUUAUUGAAGGAAAGCUGCCACCAAUGCCAAAAGAUUAUAGCCCAGAGCUGGCAGAACUGAUAAGGACAAUGCUGAGCAAAAGGCCUGAAGAAAGACCCACUGUGAGGAGCAUCCUGAGGCAGCCUUACAUAAAGCGCCAAAUCGCUCUGUUUUUGGAGGCCACAAAGGCAAAAACCUCCAAAAGUAAUAUUAAAAAUGGCGACUCUAAGUCAAAGCCUGUUCCUGCAGUGGUCUCUGGAAACGCUGAAUCAAGUCAUAAAGUAGUUCCCCUCCAGUCACACUCUUCUGAGGGCUCCAAGACAUAUGUAAUGGGUGAAGACAAAUGUUUGUCCCAGGAGAAACCCAUAGUCAUUGGCCCCUUGAAGAUACCAGCAAGUCUGAAAGGCUACAUCUGCAAACCAGAUGUGAGCAAUACCUCAGAAUCGUUAGCCACCAUCAGUAAAGUGAAUAUUGACAUCUUACCUGCAGAAAGAAGGAAUUCACUGAGCGACGACUUAGUUCGGGAGAAUCAGCCAAGACACUUAGAUGCCUCUAAUGAGCUAGAAAGUAAAUGCAGUAUUUCUCAAGUGAAGGAGAAGCUGCAGGAUGGCACUAAGCCCAGCCCUCAACCCAGAAACCUAAUUCCCGCGUGGUCCUCUGAUGAUGUCACUGGGGAAAGGAAUGACCCAGUGAGACCUCUGCAGCCCCUCAACAAAGACCAAAACCUGAAAGACCAGGAUCAAGUUGCUGGUGAAUGUGUUAUAGAAAAACCAGAUAGAACCCACCCAGGUUUACAGCCACAGAGUUCUGGCUCUGAGCCUUCCCUCUCUCAACAGCGACGACAGAAGAAAAGAGAACUGCCUGAGCACAGUGGGGAAGAGAGACAGUUCCAGGAGGCUGCUCCUCGACUUUUGCCUUCUCUUCCCACUGUUGGAAAAAUGGAUGUCACAUUAACACAAAAAGAUGCUGAAAACCAAAAUAGAGUGGCCAUUGGGUCUGUGAGCUGUUCGAGGAGCAGGGAGGUGUCAUCAUCAAAGGAUCGACCAUUAUCAGCAAGAGAGAGGAGGCGACUAAAGCAGUCACAGGAAGAAGUGUUCCCCUCAGGCCCUUCAGUGAGGAGAGCUUGUCGGAGUGCAUCAGGGCCAGGGAAACCACCAGAAGAAGGCCAGCCCGCCCCUGCCCAUUGGUUGUCUUCCAACUGCACUGUUGCUCAGGAAAGGAAACUCAUCCACUGUCUGUCUGAGGAUGAAUUAAGUUCUUCUACAAGUUCAACUGAUAAAUCAGAUGGGGAUUCCAAGGAACGGAAAUGUCAUACAAAUGAAAUGAGUGACUUGGUGCAGUUGAUGACUCAGACCCUAAAAUUGGAGUCUAAAGAGAGCUAUGAAGAUCUCCUGGUUCCAGAGCCAGUGUCAGAAUUUAAACUUCAUCGGAAGUACCGGGAUACGCUGAUACUUCAUGGGAAAGUUGCAGAAGCAGCUGAGGACCUCCAUUUUAAAGAGCUACCUUCUGCUGUCAUGCCAGGUUCUGAAAAGAUCAGAAGAAUAGUUGAAGUUUUGAGAGCUGAUGUAAUCCAGGGCCUGGGGAUUCAGCUUUUAGAACAGGUGUAUGAUCUUUUGGAAGAAGACGAUGAAUUGGAGAGAGAGAGAGAGGGAGAGUACAAGCAGUGGGAGCAGCAGACAGAGGGAGAAGGAGAAGCGGGCUCCCCGCUCAGCAGGACCCGGGGAUCAUGAUCUGAGCUGAAGGCAGACACUUAAGUGACUGAGCCACCCAGGCACCUGCUUUCAUUUCAACUUAACAGGACUCCCUGUAGUAUUUUUGCAGGCUGGGUCUGAUGGUAAAAAUUCUUCGUCUUUUGUUUAUCUGGUACGUUUGCAGGAGCACAUGGGUGAAAAAUAUACAACUUACAGUGUGAAAGCUCGCCAGUUGAAAUUUUUUGAAGAAAAUGUGAAUUUUUGAGAAUUUAAUCUGCCAGAACUAAAGACCUAUUUUUAAAGGUUUUUGGCUUAAACAGAAACAAACCCAUAAUAAUGAUUGGAGGCCAUUCACCGUCCUUAUUUCUCCUUUUUUUUUUUUUAACUGGGAGAAAAGUGGGAUCGAACAGAGUAACAUGAAGCAAUGUCACAAAAGAAAGAAAAAACCUUUGGCUAGCUUACUCUCUUGACGAAGAAAAUCUAUUAGAAGAUGUCUGGUUACUGUUUACUGAGCCUUAAACCACCAGUUUUAUAUUUAGAACUUUAUUUUUAAGGUACUAAUUAGCUUGAUUACAGGGCCAUAAAAUUAGAUUGGAAGUUUUAUAUUGUACUAUAGUGAUAAAUGCAUAGGAGAAGUAAAUAAUAUGUCAUAGUGAUACUCGUCAUUGUUAAUAACUAGGUAGUAGUUGAUAAAUUAUUUUUUUAAAAAGUCAAUUCAUGAUUCUGGGAGUAGAUUUGAAUAUGAAUAUGAAGUUGUAUCUACUAUUUGAGCAACUGAAUUCCUUUUUCAUAUAUUGAUGGAUGUUUAGCCUUUUAUUUUCAUUUAAUAUGAACCUCAUUUACAGUAUAUAAGAAUUGAAACAAAUAUUUUGGCUUUGUCAAUCAACAUUUUUGUAUACUGGUCUUUUUUUAAGAGUAAUAUUUUCAUUGGCAAGAACUUUUCCUAAAACACUAAUUCCCUUUCCAAUUAAGCAAUUUGUAAGUGCAGUCCAGCUCCUUUUAGUUAUGUUGGACAUAUUUAUCUCCUGAAGUUUUUCGCCUUGUACAUCAAAUUACUGGUUGUCUUUAAAUGUAUGACUGUGUAUCACAUAUUUUAUUAGUUGUUUAAUAAGGGGGUAAUUCCCAUGUGGGAAAUAAAUUGUUUUUAUAUAAGUCUUGAUAGGUAAAUUUUCACUUCUAUAUUCAAGGGACUUUAUUAAAAAUGAAUA